AGAAUUUUCUGAGCCAGAGACAAAUAGAAAGUCAGAAACAACCACUCAAUAUCACACAGUAUAAUACAUGAAAAUCACUCUUGACAUUGUUACUCAAGCUUAUUGAGUAAACUUUCACCAGCUGUGUAAAAAGUUAAGACUAAUAUUCUGUAAACAAAAUAAACUCCUUCACUAUCAAGACAACAAGCUGUUGCGCGAAAUGAACAAAGAAAAAUUCACCAACGAAACCCCUUCCUAUAAUAUCGAUUGCCCUCGUCUUUCUAAUUUAGUUGAUCAAAAUGCAUUUGAGGGAGGGUAGAGAUCCUUACACAA
rnacentral:lncRNA from 1 species